UUUUAUUGGACUAGACAUUAGUAUGAUGUUUUCAUUACUGUCACUGCAUCUCAGCUUGAAACAAUAGCUGCUAUAACUAUUCUUCUCAGUUUUCAGUUUUAUAAUGGUAUAAAUUACAUGUUUAAAAACAAGUGUGAGGUAUUUAUCUGUUUCUACAGAAGCACAUUUUACUUUCAGCAGAUUAGCCCCUCUGGCAGAAGGAUUCUGGUGGUGGUACUCUACCUGCCAAUUCUCCACCCACACGGUACACCUGAACUCCGGCAUCUUUGGGAUUGACAUGUUGUCUACUCUGCUUCAGAAUAAUUUUAUAUUUCAAGACAGAAACAAAAUGGGAGAGUUAUGAAAUGCUAAACCUAUUUCUCAAGCAAUGUGAUAGCAUGGGUCCUCUUUGCGCACGACUGUUGGAGGAAAUAGCUGUCCAAAACACUCUUCGUUGUGAAAAUAUGGAGAGAGGAAUCAAAGAAUAGCAAAGAUUUCAGAAAUGUUUUGACCAACUGGUGGAUACUUCUCAGAACCACUGAAACUCUAGUUCCAUCAGAAAAUGCAGACGUUUUGAAGGCAGACAAAUACUGAGCAUGUUGUUGAAAGAUCAUUUUCAAAAAAAGAAAGAAGUGUGAUUUCAUUGCUGCAAGGUAAACCAAUACAAAGAAAACCAAUUUUAAAUGUAUGAUUGUCCCUGGAGGAUCAUCAAAGUCAAAGCUAAUUGGCAGGAGAAGGUAAUUCAUACACAAGUGUACUUUGCCAGGUUUCAUGUUUCUAACUUCACAAAUGCUUCAGAAGGUAUGGAAAUUGCUUCCUUAUUUUUCAGGGACUUUAUUACU